rnacentral:misc_RNA from 1 species
AUUAAGAAAAAGCCAAAACCAUUACUACUACUCCAAGAUUGGUCAAGCAAGAAAAAAGGAGGCCCUGUAUUUGAUUCAUUACGUAAUUCUACAUGAUGAAACAAAGUUUAAUAUAGACUAGAAUUUUUAUUUUUGUAUUACAAGUUGAUGGAUAAAGAAGAAGAGGCCAUGGAUAAGCAUGAGCCACCACAUCAUCUUUCAUCUGAACAUCAUGGCCACAUCCCAGAGAAAACCAUAAUAUCCCCAUUACAGAGCACAGAAAUAAACCUCAGUAACCCUAUCUGCAGGAAUGAAGUCGGCCGGUGAUGAGAGAAAAGUUGGUGAAAGAGAAGAAGGGUGUGAGAGAAACUCGGAGGAGAGAGAGAUGGCAAUAUCCCAUGUCAGAAUCGCUUAUCUUUAAGCCUUAUAUAGCUAUGCAAUGCAAGAAAGAAUUAGGAAGGAAGAAGGAAAGGGACCUAACUUUCCAUCGUAUAUCAACUCAG